AAGCAUUAGCACAGUUCAGAAAAGGAUAAAGGAUACCUGCUCUUGUUAGGUUAAGAAGAAUAAAAGAAGUGCUAUCACUUGGCUGUAGAUCUUGCAACAAGCUAGGAGACUCUGGAGUGGACAAAAACUCCGGGGACUUCUGUACAGUCUGAGCCCUCGUCUCUUCUCCGUCUGGACCCACAUUCACCUGAAGGCUUCUCAACACGGCCGAGGAAGGGACCUCCUUGGAGGAGUUUGUAUGACUUGGAGUAUCAUCUAGCAAAGGGAAAAUACCAUGGCUUUACGUAACACCUAUCUCCAAGGAGCUCACCAAACGUAGCCUCUAAUACCCUUAUAACAUCCCUUAUGCAGCAGCAUUUUUAUUUUACAAAUACAAAACUUGCCUCAAGAA
rnacentral:lncRNA from 1 species